rnacentral:rRNA from 1 species
UCGAGCGCACCUUCGGGUGAGCGGCGGACGGGUUAGUAACGCGUGGGAACAUACCCUUUUCUACGGAAUAGCCUCGGGAAACUGAGAGUAAUACCGUAUAAGCCCUUCGGGGGAAAGAUUUAUCGGGAAAGGAUUGGCCCGCGUUAGAUUAGAUAGUUGGUGGGGUAAUGGCCUACCAAGUCUACGAUCUAUAGCUGGUUUUAGAGGAUGAUCAGCAACACUGGGACUGAGACACGGCCCAGACUCCUACGGGAGGCAGCAGUGGGGAAUCUUAGACAAUGGGCGCAAGCCUGAUCUAGCCAUGCCGCGUGUGUGAUGAAGGUCUUAGGAUCGUAAAGCACUUUCGCCAGGGAUGAUAAUGACAGUACCUGGUAAAGAAACCCCGGCUAACUCCGUGCCAGCAGCCGCGGUAAUACGGAGGGGGUUAGCGUUGUUCGGAAUUACUGGGCGUAAAGCGUACGUAGGCGGAUUGGAAAGUUGGGGGUGAAAUCCCAGGGCUCAACCCUGGAACUGCCUCCAAAACUAUCAGUCUAGAGUUCGAGAGAGGUGAGUGGAAUUCCAAGUGUAGAGGUGAAAUUCGUAGAUAUUUGGAGGAACACCAGUGGCGAAGGCGGCUCACUGGCUCGAUACUGACGCUGAGGUACGAAAGUGUGGGGAGCAAACAGGAUUAGAUACCCUGGUAGUCCACACCGUAAACGAUGAAUGCCAGUCGUCGGGCAGUAUACUGUUCGGUGACACACCUAACGGAUUAAGCAUUCCGCCUGGGGAGUACGG